rnacentral:rRNA from 1 species
UACAGAGGGGGCAAGCGUUGUUCGGAAUUACUGGGCGUAAAGGGCGCGUAGGCGGCCUUCUAAGUCGAACGUGAAAUCCCUGGGCUCAACCCAGGAACUGCGUCCGAUACUGGUUGGCUUGAAUCCGGGAGAGGGAUGUGGAAUUCCAGGUGUAGCGGUGAAAUGCGUAGAUAUCUGGAGGAACACCGGUGGCGAAGGCGACAUCCUGGACCGGCAUUGACGCUGAGGCGCGAAAGCCAGGGGAGCAAACGGG